rnacentral:rRNA from 3 species
GCGGAGGAAAAGAAAAUAACAAUGAUUUCCCUAGUAACGGCGAGUGAAGAGGAAAGAGCUCAAAGUUGGAACCUGUUUGGCCUAGCUAAACCGGAUUGUAGACUGUAGAAGUGUUUUCCAGGCAAGCCGAGUAAAUAAGUCCUUUGGAACAGGGCAUCAUAGAGGGUGAGAAUCCCGUCUUUGGCUUGAGCAUUUGCCUUUUGUGAUACGCUUUCAAAGAGUCAGGUUGUUUGGGAAUGCAGCCUAAAUUGGGUGGUAAAUCUCACCUAAAGCUAAAUAUUGGCGAGAAACCGAUAGCGAACAAGUACCGUGAGGGAAAGAUGAAAAGAACUUUGAAAAGAGAGUUAAACAGUAUGUGAAAUUGUUAAAAGGGAACCGUUUGGAGCCAGACUGGCUUGUCUGUAAUCAAUCUAGGCUUCGGCCUGGAUGCACUUGCAGGCUAUGCCUGCCAACGACAAUUUGACUUGAGGGAAAAAACUAAGGGAAAUGUGGCCCACUUGUGGGUGUUAUAGUCCCUUAGAAAAUACCUUGGGUUGGAUUGAGGAACGCAGCGAAUGCUUUUUGGCGAGUUUUCCAGGAAGGUUUUCUGAGGUACUACGGUAUCAAGGUUGAUCUUUUUGGUUAUACUUCUAUUCGCUUAGGUUGUUGGCUUAAUGACUCUAAAUGAC